rnacentral:miRNA from 1 species
GGCCUCUGCACCGUCUCCCGGCAGUGAGGGAGGCUUCGCUCAUCGGCUGUGGUUCUUCCCACGCGAGUCUCGGUGUGCUGGGGCCACUGUGGACAGUGGCUGUGCCUGCCGG